CUGUGAUGCCUGGGAACUUCUGUGGCAACCUUGCUUCCAGCCAAUACACAGAGUGGGGCAACUCUCAGAAAACCAUUGAGAAGAGAGUCAGAGUGCUGAAGUACCGUGUCUGGAAUCCUGUCUUCCCAACUCCGUGUUUCCUGAUCUAUCAGGAUAUGAGAAGAUGACAGUCUGCAACCCAGAAGAGAACCCUCACAGAACCUGACCAUGCCGGCACCCUGAUCUCAGGUUUCCAGCCUCCAGAACUGUGAGAACUGGCUUCCAUGUGUAAAGUGCUCUAUGGAGAGGCCUGUGUGGCAAGGAACUGGGAGUAGCCUCCAGAUGACAGCCAGUAAGGAACUGAGACCCUCAGUCCACCAACCCAUGAGGAACCCAUGCAAUGACCACAUGAGUCAAACUUUGAGAUGACUGCAGACCGAGCCAGCCCCUUGAUAAGAGCUUUGUGAGAGGAUCAGAGCCAAAGGACCAGGUAAGUUGUGCCAGAUUCCUGACGCACAGACACUACAAGAUGAUAACUGUUGUUCAUUUAAGCCACUAAAUUGGGGUCAUUUGUUAUGCAGCAAUAGAUGAGUUUUACAACAAAUGGAUGACUGAGAAACAACCACCAACGCCCCAUCAUGCAUUGAAGCCUGUCCUCAUCAUGUAGUUGAAUACAAUCAAAUCUGCCCCUCCACACAGCUCAACCACUUUACCAUACAGGAGCAAUGUUUUGCAUAGACACACACACACACACACGCAUGCAUGCACACACACACACACAUUCUGAAAGGUACUCUCCCUUUCUCUAUUUUUGCUACCUUACUACCCCAUUCAGGUAGAUAGCACCCAAAAAUCUCACUGUGUCAGGCCAGAGUGCCAGGCCCACUUGGAAACCACCCCCUGGCCUGUCACUGAGCCCAUCAUCCUCAUGGGCCCUCCUGUCCGUUUCUGUGUCACCACUAAGGCCAGAGUUACCAACUGCCCAGUGAUCUCAUCACAGAGACUAAGUGUUAAGGCUAAGGAGCUGCAGCAAGGGUGGGCAAUUGCAGGGGAAGUUGUCCCUCGAGCACCCCCCAGCCACCCAGGUCUGCCUCACAGAAGGCCGCCUGUGCUUCUGUGGCUCAGCCCCUCUCCUGCUGUCAGCUGCAGGCCUGGCCUGGCCAGCGUGGAGGAAAUAAAAGAGAACUGUUCUCGGCCUGGAGCUUCCACUAGGGCAGCAUUGGGAGGUGGCAGUGCACACCCUUCCCCUGUUGCCUCACUUGCCCUGUCCCAGCCUCCCUAGGCUCUGGAGGGGAGCCUCUGCUGGCCCACGGCUCACAGGGCCCUUCUCUGGGGGUUGUUUCUAUAAGGAGGACCACCACUUAAACUGUAACAGAAGAGGCUCACAUUUCUGGUGUGGGGACGGGCUAAUUUUUAGAGACUCUAAGCCAGGCAGAUCUUCCAGCAGUAGCACAGUAUCCUUUAUUGAGGGGUGGGGAGUGGAGUGAAGGCUAUUGACAAGUCAAAGUCCAGAAAACCUGCAUUUCUUCUCCUC